rnacentral:rRNA from 1 species
UACGGAAGGCAGCAGUGGGGAAUAUUGCACAAUGGGCGAAAGCCUGAUGCAGCUAUGCCGCGUGUAUGAAGAAGGCCUUUAGGGUUGUAAAGUACUUUCAUCGGGGAGGAAAAAACAAAACUAAUAAUUUUAUUUCUUGACGUUACCCGAAAAAGAAGCACCGGCUAACUCCGUGCCAGCAGCCGCGGUAAUACGGAGGGUGCUAGCGUUAAUCAGAAUUACUGGGCGUAAAGAGCACGUAGGUGGUUUUUUUAAGUCAGAUGUGAAAUCCCUGGGCUUAACCUGGAACUGCAUUUUGAAACUGAAAUACUAGAGUAUCGUAGAGGGAGGUAGAAUUCUAGGUGUAGCGGUGAAAUGCGUAGAUAUCUGGAGGAAUACCUGUGGCGAAAGCGGCCUCCUAAACGAAUACUGACACUGAGGGUGCGAAAGCGUGGGGAGCAAACAGGGAUUAGAUACC